UUUGGCAGCUGAUCUUGCCUUUUAUGUAGUUGGAUAUAAACUACCAUGACCUCGGCCUUUCCCAGUGGGAUGUUACUAAUGACUAAAAAACCAUUCAAGUUGCAUAUGCUAUUUUUGAAUUUGACAUCCUGUGUUCUCAAUUUUGAAUAAAUAUUGAACUUCUGAUAAUAGGAUUUCAAUAUCUUCAUUUUCUCAUUUGCUUCAUAAUAUUUGCAAUAGAGAUAAAAUUUUCAACAUCUGUAUUUUUAAGAUUUCUAUUACAGUUUUCGUAAAUAUGUAUUAGUUUCUCUUCUUAGUUGAUAGUUAUUUUGUAUGUUGAAAUUGUAGGUUCAAUUUAGUAAUUAAAUGCGCCACCAUUACUCCUGGUAGGCACAACUCAUCUUAAAUUGUUCGAUGCUAUGCAGUUGCUCUUCAAAUCAUUUUAUCUUUAAAAUAUGAAUCAGAUCAUUAUCCCUUCUACACAUUAAUAAAAGAGGAAAUGUGGUGUGCACUGUUCAUUUUUGUCCCCUCGUGUUCAUACUAAAGGAUAGGCACUGUUCAAAAACAAGUUCCAUACUGUUCAUCAAAACAUAUUUGGUAUGUAUUUGCCUUUUGUACCUCUUGUAAUACCAUUUAUACCUUCCUAAUCUCUCUAAAGAAUUGUAGGUAGCCAUUGACUCCGAUAGACUUUGGUGACGAGGACGACAAAGACGAAGACAUGAAGAAUAAGGUUUCGUCAUGAUUCCUGGAGUUGGACAAAAAAAAAAUUUGGGUUCUCUAUUUUCCUUCUUUCUAAUUCUACUUUCUAAGUUUAGUCGACAUUUUUCUUUGCUUAAAUUUGGAGGUUUUGAGUAUAUAUGAUUUCUGGGCAUCUCAUAAAUAGCUUAAAUAGUUCUUUAGUUUUGGGAAUUCCAUAUUCUGAUUUUUUGAGCCUAUAUCGAAGGAGACAAGUACUAUGGAGAAAAGCAACCAUUAAUGUUUGGGAACCUAAAAUACAGCACCAUCAUAACGAGUUCAAUUUGUUCCAAAUUUGGUUACUGGGUGGUUCAUUUGGUGAAGAUCUCAAUAGCAUCAAAGCUAGUUGACUUUGAGAAAUCGUUUGGCAAUGAUAAGAGAAGAAAAUGAAAAUCCAAUUUUGAGAAUUCUUAAAAUGAAGGAAGGAUGAGAAUUGACUCCCAAAAAAAGAAAGCACUGAACAUGUCUUCAAAGUCAUGCAUAGCACUCAACAUGUCUUUAGAGUCAUGUAUUCUCUCAAGAAGAAGAGCAGCAGAAGUAAAAGUGGUGUUCGUGGCAACUCUGUUUCAUUUGAUGAUAUUCGGGAUGGUGAUGAGCUGCAAGCUAUUAUGGCAUUUCAACGAGCCUUGAUGCUAAUUGCCAAACAAGUUUGAUGAUUAUCAUAUGAUGUUGAGUGAUUAGAAUUCUUCGAUGGAACGUGUAUCUGUGCAGACCAAGGGGUUUGCCUUUGGUCAGAUAAAGGACCAUGGAAAAUUCCUGAGAUACUAAAGAUGGUGCUUGAUGGUGAAGCACAACUGCCAGGAAGGUGGUUGAAAUUCUUAACAAUGAUGGAGAGAUAGUUUAUGCUAAACCCCACUACUAGAUUGUAUAGACUCUUUCUGUUGUGCAUAUGAUUAGGCACAACUACUCCACAAUAUUUCUGUUAUGUGAGAUUUUGUUUUUAUUUGGUUGUUGAAGUAGGUAAAAGGCAGUGACACCUCAAUUGUUGAAUUUGGUUCUAAAGCUGAAGAUAUUUCUUCACCAAAAGCUAUUAGGAGUUACUCGCACCUUUGAUUGAAUUCCGUUCGUGAGGAGGCAUAAGAGAAGAGAGAAGGAAAAACUUGUUCAAGCAUAUUCUUCUUAGGAUCUUGAAGAAAUUCUUAGCUCCGGUAGAAUAAGAGGAUGCUUGAUAAACCCAUCCGAGAAAUUGGAAGGAAAAGAGAAUAUUUACAAGCACAACAAAAGAAACUGAUUGUGGAGAUAAAAGGAAAAAAAAUGCUAAGCAAGGACAGAUGAAGAAACAAGCUGUCCAAAUUUAAAGCUCAAAUAACAGAAGUGAAAGGGAUAAUGAUGGACAAUAUUGAGAAAGUAUAGCAAGAGGCAUCAAAGAAGCCCAAGCACGAGAAGCCAAUAUAGGAGUCGUGAAAGAGACCUUCCUACAAGCCUUUUGGUCUGCGAACUUUGACAUGAUUGCAAGUCUAUUUUAAUGUUUCUUAAAUGCAAAUUCAAUUGCUAUUAUUUCUUGUAGUUGUUCAACCUGCUUCAAGCUACUUUCUUGUUAUUGAAAUUAGUUUAAAAGCAUUGAUAUCUUCUUCCCAAUUUUUUGAUUUCA